UACGGCGAUAACACGCUAAAACACCAAUUCCCGUCCGAUCACCGAAGUUAAGCAACGUCGAGCCUGGUCAAUACCUUAAUGGAUGACCGUUUGGGAAUACCAAGUGCU